rnacentral:SRP_RNA from 1 species
GCCGGGCAUGGUGGCUCAUGCCUGUAAUCCCACCACUUUGGGAGGCUGAGGCAGGUGGAUCAUUUGAGGUCAGGAGUUUGAGACCAGCCUGGCCAACAUGGUGAAACCCUGUCUCUA